rnacentral:tRNA from 1 species
ACGCGGGAUGGAGCAGCUCGGUAGCUCGUCGGGCUCAUAACCCGAAGGUCGUAGGUUCAAAUNACUGGUUCGAGCCC